rnacentral:rRNA from 1 species
GAUGAACGCUGACAGAAUGCUUAACACAUGCAAGUCUACUUGAUCCUUCGGGUGAUGGUGGCGGACGGGUGAGUAACGCGUAAAGAACUUGCCCUGCAGUCUGGGACAACAUUUGGAAACGAAUGCUAAUACCGGAUAUUAUGUGAGUUUCGCAUGAAAUUCAUAUGAAAGCUAUAUGCGCUGCAGGAGAGCUUUGCGUCCUAUUAGCUAGUUGGUGAGGUAACGGCUCACCAAGGCGACGAUCCGUAGCUGGUUUGAGAGGACGACCAGCCACACUGGGACUGAGACACGGCCCAG